rnacentral:rRNA from 1 species
UUGAACGCUGGCGGCAUGCCUUACACAUGCAAGUCGAACGGUAGAGGGGCAACCCUUGAGAGUGGCGAACGGGUGAGUAAUAUAUCGGAACGUGCCCAGUCGUGGGGGAUAACGCAGCGAAAGCUGCGCUAAUACCGCAUACGAUCUAUGGAUGAAAGCGGGGGAUCGCAAGACCUCGCGCGAUUGGAACGGCCGAUAUCAGAUUAGGUAGUUGGUGGGGUAAAAGCCCCACCAAGCCGACGAUCUGUAGCUG